rnacentral:rRNA from 1 species
CCUACGGGAGGCAGCAGUAGGGAAUAUUGCUCAAUGGGGGAAACCCUGAAGCAGCAACGCCGCGUGGAGGAUGAAGGUUUUAGGAGUGUAAACUCCUUUUGUUAGAGAAGAUAAUGACGGUAUCUAACGAAUAAGCCCCGGCUAACUCCGUGCCAGCAGCCGCGGUAAUACGGAGGGUGCAAGCGUUACUCGGAAUCACUGGGCGUAAAGAGCGCGUAGGCGGGAUAGCAAGUCAGAUGUGAAAUCCUAUGGCUUAACCAUAGAACUGCAUUUGAAACUGUUAUUCUAGAGUAUGGGAGAGGUAGGUGGAAUUCUUGGUGUAGGGGUAAAAUCCGUAGAGAUCAAGAGGAAUACUCAUUGCGAAGGCGACCUGCUAGAACAUAACUGACGCUGAUGCGCGAAAGCGUGGGGAGCAAACAGGAUUAGAUACCCUUGUAGUC